AUCUCUAACUUGAGCGUCGGAGGACUAACCCCGGACAAAGCUCCGGGCCUCUACCGUCUGUGCUUGUGCAGGAUCAGCUCAUAUGGAUUUUCGGCAGCAACACCACGUCACUUUGAAAUGUUUAGCAUUUAUCUAUAAUGAUCCCGCAAAUUACGCUCUUUUAUAUGUGACAACAGUUGCUUCAUUUUCACAACCCUUUGUCUGGCUUCCUAAUGAAAGCUUCACUUGUUGAAUUUUGAGGGGGUGACUGCUAGAUUUUAUCAAAUGCUAAAAUUCUGGAUGAUGCUGGGACAAUUCCUUGGACUAGCCCAAACCCAUUGGGGAACCCAGAUUGAGAUGGACUGGGUCCAAUAAAUUUUGAGUCCAUAGGAUAUUUUAGAUUAUUUAUUUAGAUUUUUUCUUAAUUGGAUUUAUCUUACAAGUCCAAGUAAGAGUCGAGUUUAAUUUCAGUUUUAGGUUACAAUCAGGGGUCUUUUAUUUUCCUCUUUAAACAGUAGCUUGUAACCAAUGUAAGAUUUAGAUUUGAGAAUGGAUUUAUUUGAGAUGUUUAUGGUGCCAGAUUGGUAUAAAGCAUUGCAUGAUAGGUUAUGAGAGGUUGUGUGGCUUUUCCUUUCCCUAUUCUAACCUCCUUCGAUUUCUUCUUCUCUAUUUCCUGUCCUCCUUGAGCUCUUCCUAAUCUCAGGUCCAUCCUGUCCAUCCAACUGGCCCGAGAAAUGAGAUCUGAUGCAUACUUCACCAGCGAUUGGUGCUCGUAGAGCUCUUGAGUACCACAGCUUUCUCGUGUAGCAUGGAGGAUCGAGAUCGCUUGGCAUGCGUUAUCAACCUUCCUGCUGCUCUCGAAAUGCCAUAGUGAGUCUGCCCUAGGGCACUAGAGAUCGUGGGGAGUCUCCUUCAAUUUCUUUUUCUCUAUUUCCUGUCCUUGAGUUCUUCCUUAAUCUCUGAUCCGUCCCCUGUUUCUCUAUUACAAUGUUGGUUACUGAGUUCCUCUUCCGUGGGUGGUACCAUCAGGUUCAAGAGGAAGCUUAGCAGAAUUGUGGUUCCUAGUCGAUGGGCCCUGAGAUUUGGAUAUAAGGUAGCCUACCCUUGGGUGAUUUAAACCCUUGGUAUCCUAACACCUCCCCCACCUCCCUUUCUCCCGUGGUGAUUUGCAGACCAGCAACUACAGCUGGUUGUUACCUUGCCUCUGGAUCUGAUUUCAGAGAUUCAAUUCCCUCUCUUCACUUCUUGUUUCAGGAGUUCCUUGGUUUCAUUUGAUAGAUCGUUGGAGAGUCUUCCUCAUAAAUCCUGGUUUGAUUUGAGGUCCGGUUGAAGAGUUCCGACACAAGAAUCAAUGACUCCUUUUACCGUCGGUUUUGGUUUUGUAUUUGGCCGAGAAUUCGUAAGGUUGGAGAAGAGUCAAAGACACUCUUCUCCCCAUGAUUCCUUUUAUUGCUUUAAUUUUUUCCACUUCCCUUAACUACCCAUCACUUUCCUUUACUUCCAAUACCUAUCUUAUCCUCUUUUCUUUAAUUUCCCAAGUAACCCUUGAAAAAAUUCUGGUUAUUUACAAUUGUGCCAUUCUGUUGUGGAUAUGAGCUAUGUGGUGAUUGGGUUGGCCCCUUAGCAAUCCGAGUUGGGUUUUGAAACCCCAAUUUUUUAUUUUAUUUAUUUUUUAUUUUUUUCUGGUAAAACAUAAAUUCAUUCAACUAAAAUAAUGGGUAUAUAAGGUUUGGAUACAGGCUAGUCAAAACCCGAGUAAAAAAAGACGGCUAAAAGAAUCUGCGGUAUGGAAGAUGUUGCCUUGUAACUGUUUAUUGCAUAUACUAGGAACUACUCUGUUGAUUUGAAAAGAAAUGACAGAAAAAUGGUUGGCCAUUGCUGAUACUGGUACGGAAAAAAAAACAAUAAAAAAACCUAUGCUGAUGAUCCAUGAUCAUGCUGCAUAGUAUCUUUUGCCGCAUAUGAACUGAGCAUGGAUUUCUUAUAAUGAUACUAAUAGUAACAUUUGUUCAAUAUGUUUAUUUUUUUAUCCUAGAUGUUAUGCACGCUUGCAUCCCCGGGCUGUUAACUGCAGGAAAAAGAAAUGUGGGCACAGCAACCAGUUGAGGCCCAAAAAGAAGAUCAAGUAGAUGUAAUGGUGAAGCUUUCGGUAGGAAUGAUGUCUCAGUGAACAUAUUUUAGUGGUUAUAUUAGGAGAAACCCUGCUUGCAAGGGAAGUUUAUCAUGACCUCAAGUCAUCAAUUUUGUCAACUUUGUAUUACCCGCUUGUCAUGCUUUGACCAUGCCGGGCUGCUGUUCUAGCAAUCUCAACUCCUAAAGGAUAAGCGUGCAUAACGAGCACUCCAUGCAUAGAAUGUCUUGCUAUGCUUCUAUUUACAUCUUAAUUGAGUGCUUGUUUCCCUA